GAUAAGUCAGACCAAAUACAGUAUGCUUUGGGUCAUUGUCCAGCUGCACUGUGAAGCGCCGUCCAAUGAGUUCUGAAGCAUUUGGCUGAAUAUGAGCGGAUAAUAUUGCCCGAAACACUUCAGAAUUCAUCCUGCUGCUUUUGUCAGCAGUCACAUCAUCAAUAAAUACAAGAGAACCAGUUCCAUUGGCAGCCAUACAUGCCCACGCCAUGACACUACCACCACCAUGCUUCACUGAUGAGGUGGUAUGCUUUGGAUCAUGAGCAGUUUCUUUCC